rnacentral:rRNA from 1 species
AUUGAACGCUGGCGGCAGGCCUUACACAUGCAAGUCGAACGAGUGGCGGACGGGUGAGUAAUGUCUGGGAACGUGCCUGAUGGUGGGGGAUAACUACUGGAAACGGUAGCUAAUACCGCAUACCAUUAGAUGUGCCCAGAUGGGAUUAGCUAGUUGUGGGGGUAAAGGCUCACCAAGGCCACGAUCCCUAGCUGGUCUGAGAGGAUGACCCGCCAAACUGGAACGGAGACACGGGCCAGACUCCGACGGGAGGCAGCAGUGGGGAAUAUUGCACAAUGGGCGAAAGCCUGAUUCAGCCAUGCCGCGUGUAUGAAGAAGGCCUUCGGGUUGUAAAGUACUUUCAGCGGGGAGGCGUUACCCGCAGAAGAAGCACCGGCUAACUCCGUGCCAGCAGCCGCGGUAAUAC